rnacentral:rRNA from 1 species
AUUGAACGCUGGCGGAAUGCUUUACACAUGCAAGUCGAACGGCAGCACGGACUUCGGUCUGGUGGCGAGUGGCGAACGGGUGAGUAAUGUAUCGGAACGUGCCCAGUCGUGGGGGAUAACGUAGUGAAAAUUACGCUAAUACCGUAUACGAUCUAUGGAUGAAAGCGGGGGAUCGCAAGACCUCGCGCGAUUGGAGCGGCCGAUAUCAGAUUAGGUAGUUGGUGGGGUAAAGGCCCACCAAGCCAACGAUCUGUAGCUGGUCUGAGAGGACGACCAGCCACACUGGAACUGAGACACGGUCCAGACUCCUACGGGAGGCAGCAGUGGGGAACUUUGGACAAUGGGCGAAAGCCUGAUCCAGCCAUUCCGCGUGCAGGAUGAAGGCCCUCGGGUUGUAAACUGCUUUUGUACAGAACGAAAAGGUCUCUACUAAUACUAGGAGCUCAUGACGGUACUGUAAGAAUAAGCACCGGCUAACUACGUGCCAGCCGCCGCAGUAA